rnacentral:rRNA from 1 species
AACGUAGGGGACAAGCGUUAUCCGGAUUUACUGGGCGUAAAGGGUCUGUAGGUGGUUGUUCAAGUCUGCUGUUAAAGCGUCUGGCUUAACCAGAUAAAGGCGGUGGAAACUGAACGACUAGAGUGCGGUAGGGGUAGAGGGAAUUCCCAGUGUAGCGGUGGAACGCGUAGAUCUUGGGAAGAACACCUGUGGCGAAAGCGCUCUACUGGACCGCGACUGACACUGAUGGACGAAAGCUAGGGGAGCGAAUGGG